AAACUUCAUCAGGUUUGUCAACAUGCGC
rnacentral:sRNA from 1 species